UGGGGAAUAUUGGACAAUGGGCGCAAGCCUGACGCAGCGACGCCGCGUGAGUGAUGAAGGCCUUCGGGUUGUAAAGCUCUGUGGGGAGAGAAGAAUAAGUGCGGGCUAAUACCCCGCAUGAUGACGGUAUCUCCUUAGCAAGCACCGGCUAACUCUGUGCCAGCAGCCGCGGUAAGACAGAGGGUGCAAACGUUGUUCGGAAUUAUUGGGCGUAAAGCGGGUGUAGGCGGACUUAUAAGUCAGGUGUGAAAUCCCAGGGCUCAACCCUGGAAGUGCACUUGAUACUGCAAGUCUUGAGUGUGGUAGAGGCUAUUAGAAUUCCUGGUGUAGUGGUGAAAUACGUAGAUAUCAGGAGGAAUACCGGAGGCGAAGGCGGAUAGCUGGGCCAACGACUGACGCUGAGACCCGAAAGCGUGGGGAUCAAACAGGAUUAGAUACCCUUGUAGUCCCUGAGCGGGCUGGCAAGGCGCAU
rnacentral:rRNA from 1 species